UAACGCAAUCUCCCUCAAAUUCC
rnacentral:miRNA from 1 species